AGUGAACGCUGGCGGCGUGCUUAACACAUGCAAGUCGUACGAGAACGGGUUAUAGCUUGCUAUAAUUGUCAGCUAAGUGGCGCACGGGUGAGUAAUGUAUAGGUAAUAUGCCUCUUACUAAGGGAUAACUAAUGGAAACGUUUGCUAAUACCUUAUACUCCUUAUUAACAGAAGUUAAUAAGGGAAAGAUUUAUUGGUAAGAGAUUAGCCUGUAUUGUAUCAGUUAGUUGGUGGGGUAAUGGCUUACCAAGACUAUGACACAUAACUGGUUUGAGAGGAUGAUCAGUCACACUGGAACUGAGACACGGUCCAGACUCCUACGGGAGGCAGCAGUGGGGAAUAUUGCACAAUGGACGGAGUCUGAUGCAGCAACGCCGCGUGGAGGAUGACACAUUUCGGUGCGUAAACUCCUUUUAUAUGAGAAGAUAAUGACGGUAUUAUAUGAAUAAGCACCGGCUAACUCCGUGCCAGCCGCCGCCGUAA
rnacentral:rRNA from 1 species